UGACGAUAAACAAGAUAAUGUGUCCUGGGUUGAAGAUAAACAAGAUAAUGUGUCCUGGGUUGAAGAUAAACAAGAUAAUGUGCCCUGGGUUGACCAUAAACAAGAUGAUGUAAUGUGCCCUGGGUUGACCAUAAACAAGAUAAUGUAAUGUGCCCUGGGUUGACCAUAAACAAGGUAAUGUGCCCUGGGUUGACCAUAAACAAGAUAAUGUAAUGUGCCCUGGGUUGACCAUAAACAAGAUAAUGUAAUGUGCCCUGGGUUGACCAUAAACAAGGUAAUGUAAUGUGCCCUGGGUUGACCAUAAACAAGGUAAUGUAAUGUGCCCUGGGUUGACCAUAAACAAGGUAAUGUGCCCUGGGUUGACCAUAAACAAGGUAAUGUGCCCUGGGUUGACCAUAAACAAGGUAAUGUGCCCUGGGUUGACCAUACACAAGAUAAUGUAAUGUGCCCUGGGUUGACCAUAAACAAGGUAAUGUAAUGUGCACUGGGUUGACCAUAAACAAGGUAAUGUGCCCUGGGUUGACCAUAAACAAGGUAAUGUGCCCUGGGUUGACCAUAAACAAGGUAAUGUGCCCUGGGUUGACCAUAUUAAUGCAACAGAUUAUCAGUAGAAAAUAUACAAUAGAACUGCUAUCAGUCUCUGUCCCAACCGUACCCUAUUCCCUA